rnacentral:rRNA from 1 species
GCUACACAUGCAGUCGAGCGGAACGACAACAUUGAAUCUUCGGAGGAUUUGUUGGGCGUCGAGCGGCGGACGGGUGAGUAAUGCCUAGGAAAUUGCCUUGAUGUGGGGGAUAACCAUUGGAAACGAUGGCUAAUACCGCAUAAUGCCUACGGGCCAAAGAGGGGGAUCUUCGGACCUCUCGCGUCNAGAUAUGCCUAGGUGGGAUUAGCUAGUUGGUGAGGUAAUGGCUCACCAAGGCGACGAUCCCUAGCUGGUCUGAGAGGAUGAUCAGCCACACUGGAACUGAGACACGGUCCAGACUCCNACGGGAGGCAGCNGUGGGGAAUAUUGCACAAUGGGCGAAAGCCUGAUGCAGCCAUGCCGCGUGUAUNAGAAGGCCUUCGGGUUGUAAAGUACUUUCAGUUGUGAGGAAGGGG